rnacentral:rRNA from 1 species
GCAAGUCGAACGCCCUCUUCGGAGGGAGUGGCAGACGGGUGAGUAACACGUGGGAAUCUACCUAUCUCUGCGGAACAACACAUAGAAAUGUGUGCUAAUACCGCAUACGCCCUUCGGGGGAAAGAUUUAUCGGAGAUAGAUGAGCCCGCGUUUGAUUAGCUAGUUGGUGAGGUAAUGGCUCACCAAGGCGACGAUCAGUAGCUGGUCUGAGAGGAUGGAC